AGUGGGAUAGCUGGGUCAAAUGGUGGUUUCAUUCCAAGUUUUCUGAGGAAUCUACAUACUGCUUUCCAGAGUGGUUGCACCAAUUUGCAGUCUCAACAGCAGU
rnacentral:pre_miRNA from 1 species